CUUCCCAGGUGUCCCUGCAGACUAAAAGAGAACCCACACUGAGGAAUAAAGCCACAGAGGGAUUCCAGGCAUGCAGAAGCACCUGCUUAGAAGGCUCUGCCCUGCUCCUUCCUGCUCUAACUCUUAAGUGUCUUGAAAAAAGAAAGACCUUACAGGCCAUCUAGCCAUGUUGACGAGCAUGGAGACCCUGAAUCUAAGGAGCUGAUAACAAUAAAGUGUUGCAUGGCCUGAAGAUAAACCUGGAGGGACCUUCAAGGUCUUCUUCCUGCAAACUUUCUGCACUCCUAACUCCACCGCAGCAUCUGCCUUCUGGAGAACACAGCUGUCACACCUGUGUUAAGCUCCAAAGCGCUGGAGGUACCUAGUGCCUGGAUGAAACUAGAGACAUGGAGAUAUUGCACCCAAUAGGACAAGGAUGAAUCCAGCCCACAGGCCACCAGAGAGGAGGAAUACAGCUAAGUGGCUGAGGGCAUGGAUGCUAGCAGCUGGCACCAGCGCUAACCAAGGGCUUAUCAGGACAAGGGAGGCAGCUCCCCUCCAUGCCAGCCAACUGCACUUAGGUGACGAUGCUGAGGAUUUCUGCAGUCUAAGUUACUCUGAAGCUUGGGCAAAUUGUUUUACUGCCUUCAGCCUUAGUUACCCCAUAUAUAAAAUGGGAUAAGUGACACGUGUUGUUAAAGUUCACCUUUCAUCGGACCCCAAAAUGAUUCUAGAGAUAGAGAGCAGAUUAGGGGUCGCUUAGGGCUGAGGAAGAUGGGGCUAUAGGAGGCUGAUAGCUAAAGGGCACAGGGUUUCUUUCUGAUGUGAUGAAAAAGCUCUAAAAUUGACUGCGGUGAUGAUUGCAUAACUCUGUGAAUAUACUCAAAAAUCACUGAAUUGUACACUCUGAAUGAGCGAGUUGUAUAACACGUGAAUUGUAUUUCAACCAAGCUGCUAUUUUAAAACACUUAGCUCAAUGAAUCAUUGCAAGAUGAAUAACCCAUGUAACCAUCACCCAAGUCAGGAAAUGGAAUAUUCUAGAAUCCCAAAGUCCACCUACCGCCUGCGAGGACAUGUAUUUUUUGUUUGUUUGUUUAGUCUCCUGUCCCCAGAAAUCUUAUGGCACAUCUCUGAAAUAGGUCAUUUGGUGUGACUGGUAUUAACUUCCACUGGGUCUGCAAGGAAACAUGGUGGCCUCCCUGGUGAUCCUUCUCAUGAAACACAGAGUUCAUUCCUAGCGUCCUAUUUUAAAAGGGAUACUGGCAAAUCUGAGCCCAUCCCAAAGGUGUGUGAACAGAUGAGGAGAUCUAGUGUUCACAUGAACAAAAGCUGAGGAUCCAGGUCCACAUAGCCUGGAGAAAAGAUUUCUGGGGGACCGAAUUGUUGUCUUUCCAUAGUAAAGGGUUACCACAUGGAAGUGAAGGCACCUGUGCUUUGUCACCCACAGGGCAGAUCUAGGAAACAGGAGAUGGGGCAGUGCCAACAUGUAUAGUGUCCAGCAUUACAUAUGGCACGUGACACACAAAUACCACCAGAGUCAUUUAUCAAGGGCCUAGUACAUGUCGGGCUUUGCGUGUUCUCUCGAAUCCUCACAAAGACCUUGUCAGAUGGGUAUAAUAAUCCAUGUUUUGCAAAAGAGGAAUGAACUGGGAGAAGAAGAUUUGCCAAUGGGGACAGAUGAGACAGUGUGGCCCUCUUAGGCGCCAACAUCUUUAUCCUGCAUUAAAUGAACAUGCAAGCUUGUCCAACAGACAGGCAUCAAAGGCUGUUUAGAAGAGAAGGGAAAAGAAAUGGAGAGGGAGCAGGGGACCUCCCAAGCUCAUUGCAGGUGUGUCCCUAAGAACUCCAGAGGCCCGGCCAGGUACAGUGGCUCACGCCUGUAAUCCCAGCACUUUGGGAGGUGGGCGGAUCACGAGGUCAGGAGAUGGAGACCACCCUGGCUAACACGGUGAAACCCCG
rnacentral:lncRNA from 10 species